UCCUUUCAAUAUGGAGAGGCUGAUACAAGCAUAAAGAGAACAAGGUUUACAAGGUCUUGUAGAAGGUUCAAGCUUUGGAUUGUCAAAGAAUUAAGUCUCAGAUUUGCAAGUGCUUGAAGACCUUUUGGACCCAUUACAAAAACUUGUCAAAAUUGAAGAGAGAAGGAGGGAUUUCUAUAUUACAUAGGAGCCUCAACUAAGG
rnacentral:lncRNA from 1 species